AGUUGCCAUCAGGUAAUGCUGGGAACUCUAAACAGACUGCUGGUGAAAGCCAGAGGAAGGUGGGGAUGACGUCAAGUCAGUAUGGUCCUUAUGCCCUGGGCUGCACACGUGCUACAAUGGCUGGUACAGAAGGAAGCAAUACCGCGAGGUGGAGCAAAUCCCCAAAACCAGCCCCAGUUCGGAUUGAAGUCUGAAAUUCGACUUCAUGAAGUUGGAAUCGCUAGUAAAGGCGUAUCAGCUACGACGCCUUGAAUACGUUCCCGGGCCUUGUACACACCGCCCGUCACAUCAUGGAGGUCUGUUGCACCCGAAGUCGCUGAUCUAACCAUUUAUUUGGAGGAAGGCGCCGAAGGUGUGGCCGGUAACUAGGAUGAAGUCGUAACAAGGUAACCUUAAA
rnacentral:rRNA from 1 species